rfam:Gossypium arboreum cultivar AKA8401 contig_25327_1, whole genome shotgun sequence.
AACCCAUGGUGAGGGCACCUUCUCAAUAGGUCCUUUGUAUCUUUCCCAUGAAUUAUAAAGAGUUUCUAGAUCCAUCUACACAAAAGAAGAAAUAUCAUUCCUUAAUUU